rfam:Tauraco erythrolophus contig114531, whole genome shotgun sequence.
CCAGAGGUCCUUCUAAGGACCAAAACUGGUUUAAACUAAGAUAUUG